rnacentral:rRNA from 1 species
GGGGGGGGCGAGCGUUUGUUUCGGAAUUACUGGGCGUAAAGGGCGCGCAGGCGGUUUCGUCAGUCAUGGGUGAAAGCCCCGGGCUCAACCCGGGAAAGGCCUGUGAAACCACGGAACUGGAGUGCUGGAGAGGGAAGCGGAAUUCCCAGUGUAGCGGUGAAAUGCGUAGAUAUUGGGAGGAACAUCGGUGGCGAAGGCGGCUUCCUGGACAGACACUGACGCUGAGGCGCGAAAGCCAGGGGAGCGAACGGGAUUAGAUACCCCGGUAGUCCUGGGCUGUAAACGAUGAAUACUUGGUGUAGGGGGUAGGAAAGUCCCCUCUGUGCCCGCAGAGAACUCGAUAAGUAUUCCGCCUGGGGAGUACGGCCGCAAGGCUG